rnacentral:rRNA from 1 species
AGGAUGAACGCUGGCGGUCUGCUUAACACAUGCAAGUCGAACGGGCGUAGCAAUACGUUAGUGGCGGACGGGUGAGUAACGCGUGAGAAUCUACCUUCAGGACGGAGACAACAGUUGGAAACGACUGCUAACCCCCGAUGUACCGAAAGGGCAAAUAUUUAUAGCCUGAAGAAGAGCUCGCGUCCGAUUAGCUAGUUGGAGAGGUAAAAGCUCACCAAGGCGACGAUCGGUAGCUGGUCUGAGAGGACGAUCAGCCACACUGGGACUGAGACACGGCCCAGACUCCUACGGGAGGCAGCAGUGGGAAUUUUCCGCAAUGGGCGAAAGCCUGACGGAGCAAGACCGCGUGGGGGAAGAAGGCUCUUGGGUUGUAAACCCCCUUUUCUCUUGGGGAAGAACGCAAUGACGGUACCAGAGGAAUCAGCAUCGGCUAACUCCGUGCCAGCAGCCGC